CCUACGGGUCGCACCAGUGGGGAAUAUUGCACAAUGGGCGCAAGCCUGAUGCAGCCAUGCCGCGUGUAUGAAGAAGGCCUUCGGGUUGUAAAGUACUUUCAGCGGGGAGGAAGGUGUUGAGGUUAAUAACCUCAGCAAUUGACGUUACCUGCAGAAGAAGCACCGGCUAACUCCGUGCCAGCAGCCGCGGUAAUACGGAGGGUGCAAGCGUCAAUCGGAAUUACUGGGCGUAAAGCGCACGCAGGCGGUCUGUCAAGUCGGAUGUGAAAUCCCCGGGCUCAACCUGGGAACUGCAUUCGGAACUGGCAGGCUGGAGUCUUGUAGGGGGGGGUAGAAUUCCAGGUGUAGCGGUGAAAUGCGUAGAGAUCUGGAGGAAUACCGGUGGCGAAGGCGGCCCCCUGGACAAAGACUGACGCUCAGGUGCGAAAGCGUGGGGAGCAAACAGGAUUAGAUACCCCUGUAGUC
rnacentral:rRNA from 1 species